rnacentral:tRNA from 11 species
GUAACGCCAUGGUAAGGCGUAAGUCAUCGGUUCAAAUCCGAUAAAGGGCUUUUUCAUGAAACUAAAGUCUUA